rnacentral:lncRNA from 7 species
GCCAAAGAUUACAAGUAAACAAAGGAAGCAAAACACAGAAAUAUGUUCUUUGAGCCAGACACUGGGACAGCACAUACACUUGUCAUCCCUCCAUGAAGCAUUGGCUAUUAAAGAUGUAAUAUUUCCACUAUAUCUCAAUUGCAGUGUAACAAGACCAGCUCUGAGUGAGUGCAUGCAGCCAACCUUCUGCAAAGGUUUUCAAUAUACUUCAAAAUAUCCUAUUAUUUACCCAUUGUGGGAAAGUGUUCUUUAGUUGGUAGUACAAAGCAAUCACAGUGGUUUUGGAGACUUUAAAGAUUUCCUAAGGAGGCAUCAGUGUCUGUAAGAUGCCCUUGGGGCUUCUGUUUUGCACUGUGAUUGUGCAGUGUUUUAUUUCCAUUAUAAGAUGCAUACAAAGGGAAAGGAAGGAAGCAAUCUUCUACAGCUGGAAACCAAAUUACAGGACUCUCUUAUAAUAAGGAGAGAUUUUCCCCAAAGUGGCACAGUGGGACAUUAAGUCUUUCAUUUUGAUCUUACCUAAAUGAACAAGAAAAAAUUCCAUUGAAUUCUGUGGCAUGCGAUCAAACUCCAAAUGAGCUACUUAAAAUGUUACAUAGGUGAGCUAUGAGUGUGGUUUUCUACAUGUUCGUUAAGAGUCUUUUUAAUAUUAUUUACAAUAUGAGGUGUUAUCUAGUUCUGCGAUUAUAGCUGGGUGGUGAUAAGCCAGUGGUAAUCUCUGUAAUUCUGCUGAUACACUUACUCAGAUAAGCUUUAUAUUAACAAGGUUUCACAAAUAAAGUUUUGUUAUCUUUAUUGUUGAUAACUGUCAGUACUCACUAAAGCUUUCAUAACAUUCGUGCAAUUAGCAAAUAAAACACUACACUUCUAUGCUGACAUUGUGUUUGUGCAUUCAGGAUACGAGCAGUAUCAAGAGGAUUGAGUUCCAAACAGUUUACUAUCUAAUCUGCCUUUCAGAAGUACUACCAGAAAAGAGAGUACAAAAAUAGUGAGAAAGAAGAGUUCCUGAGUUUCUUAUUUCUGGCAUAAAUUCUCAGAUGCUCUUUGAGAGUAAAAUUCUGACAGUAAGUGUAAUGCUACGUGCAUCAUAUUAUAUUACUGUGACUCACAUGUAGGAAAUUCAUCUUCUUUGGCCAUAAUUACAGAAGUCUGUAUUUCCUAUUUUGGUCCUCCGCUGAUAGAGAUGGAACACAUAGAGCAGAGCUCAACUUGAGAGGUGAUAAGAAUUUUACAAUGAUAAUUUUAAACAUAAAAAAGUAUAGUUUAACAUAAUGCAAGGAGAAAGCAGCUGUAAUUCACCUGGCUUUACCUUUUUGCCUAUGCUAAAUUGUAAAGUUGCUAGCAAGCCAGCAAUCUCUGAGUUAUAUGUAGAAGUUUAUAGGAUACUUAAUCACAAUAAGAGAGUUCUGCUCUUUGGACUAUUUUGCAAAGCCAUGGCUGUUUCAUUGUAAAGCUUGAUCCAACUCAUGUCCAUCCUCCCAUUCACUAUAAUGAACUUUAGAAAAUGUUAAUAAUCAUAAAUUGAUAUGAGAGCAAUCAUACGUUUGGAUGUUAACUGUUGAAGAAGAAAUGAGCUAAAAUAGAACUAAUGGUUUGCCUUGAAAGAUUUUUAUAGAAAAAGAUCAUUCUUAAAUAAAGACUGUCAAGAAUAGGUCUUCCAAUUUUGUGAUAAUCACUCAAGUUGGCAGAGUAGCAUUGCUUUUCCUGCAGAAAGUGUAUGUAGUUUGCAUAUGUUGAGUAUAAAAUCGCAAUAUGAGAUAAACCAUACAAAUUCAGGAGAACAACUAAUGAGGCUAACUAACCUUUGAAAGAAAAACAGGAGCUGAUAAAAGCAAUCUCCUGAUCAUCCACAGAGGAGAAUGCUUUUGCAAUUCAUUUUAUUAACAAAAACCUUGAUAAUAUUCACAUUCCCCUAAGCUCACAAUUAUGGCUUCCAUGAGGACAGGGAAGCCUAGAUUACCCAAGCUGGAGUCAAGCCCUCUCAAACCCUGAGCAGCCCAGUAAAACCCAGUAAGAUCUCUAUCACACAUAGCUGCCAUUGCUGGUUUGUUGCUGAUGAUGUGUUUGUUCUUGGUUA